rnacentral:RNase_P_RNA from 2 species
UCAGACGGCCGGACGGCCGCUCCCUUCGGGGAGAGGAAAGUCCGGGCUCCACGAAGACAAGGCGCCGGGUAACGCCCGGCCGGUUCGGCCUUUCGGGGCCGGGUCGAGGGAAAGCGCCGCAGAGAACGAACCGCCCCGUCCGCGGGGUAAGGGUGAAAAGGUGCGGUAAGAGCGCACCGCUCGUCCGGCGACGGAUGAGGCAUGGCAAGCCCCGCCUGGAGCAAUGCCGAAUAGGGACCGCGCGCCCCGAAAGGGGCAGGGGCGUCUCCGCCCCGAGCGGUCCGGGUUGGCAGCUAGAGGCGAUGCGCAAGCAUCGUCCCAGAUGAAUGGUCGUCGCCUCGCAAGAGGUACAGAACCCGGCUUACAGGCCGCCUGACGCG